rnacentral:lncRNA from 10 species
AAAAAAACAAAAAAAUACAAAGUGCCAAUAGCAGGUAUUGGUGAGGAAAUGAAUACCAGGACCUGUGCAUAUGAUGAGCUACUGAAACUGCCUUUGCAAAAUUAUGACUAAGACAGUGAAAGAGAUCUGACUAAAUCAAUUCCAUCUUGCUUCUAACCUCUAAGCUGUCCUAGUUCAUUCUUGGGCAUAGGCUGAAGUAACUUUGAGAGAAACUUAUAGUUCAUAACCUUAUGGUUUAUAGUUUAAAACACAGAGGAUAACAGCCCUUUCCCAAAGCAGACCUCCUUCUUGCCUGGGGACCAGAUGGCCUUUGUAGGACUAACAUUAGCCCCAAGAUUAGAAACUCUGGUUUAGGAGUCACGCAGCUGGAGGCUAGAAGAUUCUGACCCUCCCUCAACUGCUCCUAAGAUCAGCGCUUGGGAUAUUUUGCAGACUCUGCACUUGAUGGAUCAGCUGGCCCCACCCAGAUCCAUAAAAUGGCUCAUCUGAUCUUGUGGCCCCCAGGAACUGACUCCGCGCAAGACGACAGCUUCGACUCUGUAUGAUCUCAUCCCUGACCAAUCAGCACUCCUGGCUCACUGGCUUCCCCCAACCCACCAAGUUGUCCUUAAAAACUCUGCUCCCUGAAUGCUCAGGGAGACUGAUCUGAGUGAUAACAAAACCCUUGUCUCCCGCACAGCUGGCUCUGCGUGAAUUACCCUUUCUCUACUGUAAUUCCCCCGUCUUGAGAAAUCAGCUGUGUCCAGGCAGCAGGAAAGGUCUCUGGAACCCUCUCUUCAGUCUUGACUUCCUGCUGGCCUGUCUGGACCAGGUCUGUCAGUCCUACUCCCCAGCACCAGAUGGGCCCUAAGAAUCCCCCUCCUGCCACACCUGCUAUUUCCUCAUAUCCAGCCUCUCAGGCUACGAUCACCACGCCACCCUUCCAGAAGGUUCCUUCCAACCGCCCUUCCGAAAAGGCCCUCUCCAUGGCCCUCUUGUCAAUGACUCACUCCCAGCAUGGACAGCAGAGACGUGACCCACACCUCUAACCCAUGAGGCUCUGCCCAGCCCUCCCUGGACAUGUCAGAAAACAGAGAGACCCUAGUCACUGUGGGUCCAGAGGCAGGACCAGCAGCCACGUCCAUGCCUUUUCAGAGCACCCUCACCAGGAGAAAAAGUCAUCUUGAACCAUCAAACCCGAGAGCAUAAUGUCGGAUACGGAAAGUCGGUGGGAGAAGUCAUCUGUCAUUAGGGGUGGGAGCGGGGAACUUAACACGGGCAUCCAGGAAAAGGCAGGAUGAGAAGAAACCGUGGACUUGGUAAAGUCUGUAAGAAACGUCACCAUCUGAGCCAUCGCUACAGCAUCUGCCUGUAUUUCUCACAUGCUUACAUGAAAGGCAUUAUUUAUUCACUUGGACAACAAAGGCUGCUUUUCGUGAGAGUCACUGGUCCUCCCAUGAGGGCAUCCACCGAUACUUCAAGAAUCCUUCCUGGGGCCGGGCACAGUGGCUCACGCCUGUAAUCCCAGCACUCUGGGAGGCUAAGGGGGGGGCGGAUCACGAGGUCAAGAGAUCGAGACCAUCCUGGGUAACACGGUGAAACCUCGUCUGUACUAAAAAAUACAAAAAAAAAAAAAUUAGCCAGGCGUGGUGGCGGGCGCCUGUAGUCCCAGCUACUCAGGAGGCUGAGGCAGGAGAAUGGCGUGAACCUGGGAGGCGGAGCUUGCAGUGAGCCGAGAUUGCGCCACUGCACUCCAGCCUGGGAGACAGAGCUAGACUCCAUCUCAAAAAAAAAAAAAAAAAAAAAAAAAAAGGAAGAAAGAAAGAAAGAAACAAUCCUUCCUAGGACAGUGAAUCACUCCUAUAAUCCCAGCACUUUGGGAAGCUGAAGCAAGACGAUCGCUUAAGCCCAGGAGUUCGAGACCAGCCUGGGUAACACAGUAAGAUCCCAACUCUACAAAAGAAAAUAUGUUUUUUUUAAUUAGCAAGGCAUGAUGGUGCAUGCCUGCAGCCCCAGCUACUGGGGGGGAUCACUUGAGCCUAGGAGGUCAAGGGUGCAGUGAGCGAUGAUGGUGCCACUGCACUCCAGCCUGGGUGACAGAGCGAGACCCUAUCUCAAAAAAGAAAAAAAAAAACAAAAAAACCAGUCCCCACACUAGCAGCCACCCAUAAGAAUAUAAAGAAAGCAUGGUGCCCUCCACCACCUUUUACUUCUAUACCUAACCAGCAAUUUUGGGGGGAAAAGACAUAAAUGGGAAAGAGUUCUGACACAUGACUAGCUAAGAAGGUUUUGAAAUAAAAGUAAAGAGUAGGAAUUCCGCCAGGUGCAGUGGCUCACACCUGUAAUCCCAGCACUUUGGGAGGCCGAGGCAGGUGGAUCACCUGAGGUCAGGGGUUCGAGACCAGCCCGGCCAACAUGGUGAAACUCCAUCUCUACUAAAAAUACAAAAAUUAGCCAGGAGUGGCGGCAUACACCUAUAAUCCCAGCUACUCAGGAGGCUGAGGUGGGGGAAUCGCUUCAACUUGGGAGGCAGAGGUUGCGGUGAACUGAGAUCAAGCCACUGCACUCCAGCUUGGACAACAGAGAGAGAC